rnacentral:lncRNA from 1 species
CCUAUCACAUGAGCAUUAUGGGGCAUAGGAACUAUGUGCCAUGUAUCAUUAUCAUCCAUAGCUUGUAGUUCAAGCUUCAUAACCUCUUUCAAAUGUGAAUGAUUAGCAACUUCAAGGUAAGAAUGUGGUUCAUGUAUUUGUGACAAUGAAGUUGUGAAUGUUUUGUGUGCAGGUGACAAAUGUUUGGUGGCUACAUGCCUAGUUAUAGAAUGAGAAGUGACAUUGUUUGAAUGAAAAGGUAAGUCUGUGUAAUUAGCUUCAAGGUAUUUAGGUAUGUGUUUUGGUCUUGAACUUUUUAUGAUUGGCAAAUUGGUUGCAAAAUCACUGCUGUUUGAAUCAUUGUUUGUAUCAUUAACAUUCUGCAUACUAUCAGCAGCAGUAGGCACACUGAUUGUGUGAGGUGAAAGUGAUACAAAAUCAUUUGAAUUUGAUGUUAUUGAAGUUUGUGAGGGCUGGACAGGUUUAAAAGAAUGUGUUUCAGCUGAUGAUUGAUUUGGUUAAUGAAAAUUUGGAUGAUUGGAUUCAAAAAUAUGUAGAUAAUCAGCAUGCACAUUAGGUGUUUGAUGAAAUGAAAGGGUUUGUGUGUCAUGCUGUAAUGAGUGAAUGGGAUAACAUGCUCAUGAAAGACAACAUUUCUGGAUAUGAGGAUUCUGUUUGCAUCUAUAUCAUAUACCUUAGACGCUUUUAUGUUGCUUGGAUAUCCUAGAAAAAUGCAUUUGGUUGCUUUCUUAUCCAAUUUCUUCCUAUUAUGUGACAGUGUAGAGACAAAGCACAAUGAACCAAUUACUCUAAAAUAGUCAUAUGAUGGGAAUUUGUUAUAUAACAGUUCAAAUGGUGACCUGUUCCUAAGAACUCUUGUUGGUAUCCUAUUGAUUAUAUGCAUUGCUAUAAGUACUGCAUCCUCCCAGAAAUGAAUUAGAACUUUAGAUUGAUGCAUGAGAUCUUGCCACGGCUAGAACAUGUUGAUGUUUUCUCUCAACAACUUCGUUCUGCUAUGGUGUCUCUACACAUGAUAGUUAAUGAACAAUGCCUGUGUUUGGACAGAAAUCAUUGAGUCUAAACUCUUGUCCAUUAUCAGACCUCAAACAUUUAACUGAAGGUUAAACUGUUUUUGAAUAAAUUUUUCAAAAGCUGGAACAACUGUAAGAACAUUUGAUUUGCUUCUUAAUAAGAAAAUCCAAAUGAAACAACUAUAUGCAUCAACUAUAGUAAGAAAAUAUCUCUGACCAGAGAUUGUUAGUGUUUCAUAUGGCCCCCAGAGAUCAAUGUGCAUUAACUUAAAAGGCUUUUUAGAACUUUGAACAUGAACUGGAAAAGUCAGUUUUUUUUUAUUUAGCUAAAGGACAAAUUUCACAAAGCAAAUCUGCAGUACAUUUAAUAUCUGGAAAGAGUUUAUUUAUUACAUUAAUCCUCUCAAUAGGGACAUGGCUUAAGCUAAAAUGCCAUAAAUCAAACGAUUUGUGUUUGCACCAAAAGAGCUGAUAAAGAAAAUUUUUGGAAACUUCAUAACUUUUUCAAAACAAAAUUUUGAAAGAUCUUGUUCAUCUUGACUAUCUUGCAUCAGAUAAAGUCUUGAAACUUCUUUAGCUACCCCAAUCACCUUCCAUGAAAGAGUGUCCUGGACAACACAACAUUUGUCAAUGAAAAGAACACGUGUUUUUUUAUCUUUAGUGAUUUGACCUAUUGAUAUUAAAUUGAAUUUAAAACUUGUGACAUAUAAGACAUUAUGUAAAACUAACUUAUGACUCAAUCUUACUGUUCCUAUGUGUGAAAUUGGAACUUUCCUAUUAUUUGGCAAAUGAACAUAACUAUUUCUUACAGGUUUGGCAUUGACAAAACUACGUAAAGAGCAAGAUAUAAGGUCAGUUGCUCCUGAAUCCACUAUUUAGUGAUGUUGUUUGAUCAUUUCAAUAUUCACAUUCUAGUAUUUAGAUGGCAUGUUAUUAGAAGUGUUAAAACAUAAAUGACUUGAGAUGGUACCUGCAAUGGCUGAAUUAAUCAAUGAUUGUUUAGGUGGCUGUGAGUUUGCUAGUAUGUUCUUACCAUCUCUGCUGCUUAUCUCAUUCACAUUGAAAAAUUCCAUUAGCUUGUUCACCUGCUGCUGUAGUAUUGAAAAUUGAGACAUGGAACCAAUUCCACAUAGGUCAUCUUCCUGUUCAAUGUGUGUUUCAUCCCCUACAGCUAUCUUAUAUCCCCCUGUAACACUGUUUAUUGCUACCUUUCCCUUUUUGUUACUGUUUUCCCUUUUUGUAAACUUGAAAUCUUCUGGAAACCCUAUAAUUUUAAAACAUUUAUCCUUGGUGUAUCCUUUCUUCCCACAAUGAUUACACACCACAUCCUUUCUCCAUUUCUUCUUGCUAUCAGAGUUAACUACCAUGGCAGCAGACUCAAUAACAAGUUGUGCUUGGAACAUGAUGUUUCUUUGACUUUCUUCCCUUAGAAUCAGACUAUAGACUUUAUCUAAUGUUGGGAUAGGAUCUAUAAGUAUUAUAGGUGAUUUAAUGGCUGAAAAGGAUUCAUUUAAACCAUUGAGAAAUCUAAACACCAUGUCUUUUUGGUGUUGAUCUGUAUAUCUCCUAAAACACUCAAGGUUACAUUUCCCACAUCGACAAUGGGGUAGUGGCCUAUAGCUCCUUAUUUCUUCCCAAAUGCCCUUUAAUUCAACAAAAUAAUUAUCCACAAUCCUAGUUCCCUGAGUUAUAUUUCCUAAUGUGUACUAGAGAUUACAAAUUCUAGUGUCAUCUGGUUGAGCAAAAUUUUGCUUGAGUGUGUUCCAUAUGUCAAAUGCUGAAUCCAUGUAAAAUAUAGUUGAAGCCACUGGUUGUGAGAUUGAUUUCAGCAACCAUGCCACAAUCAAGUUAUUGCAGCGGAUCCAAGACAAGUAAUGGGGAUUUGUUAGCUCAAGUUUGGGUAUGGUACCAUUGAUAAAACCAACUUUGUUUCUAAUUGAAAGAGCCAACAGGAAUGAUCUGCUCCAAGCAACAUAAGUGCUGGUGGUUAAUUUAGGGUUAAUGAUCACUGACCGUGGAUGGUCUGUAUAAUGCCAAUAGUAGGGCGAUUGGGGGUUAGCAAUUGGUGGGAUUUGAGUGAUUUGUGUAGUGGUUUGUGAAGCACUAGGCUAUGUUGUUCUUAAUUCAGCAGAAUCAGUCAUAUUGUCCAUGAACAAUGAUCAACUAACAGAUGAUUCAACUAGAAGAGUAAGGGAAAAACAAUGAUAAAGAACCUUCAGGAAGAAAAUUUUUUGACUUACUGAAGAUGAACUGCAAAAAACUUUUCUACUCUCUUUAAUGAUGAUUGAUCAAGAAUUUUUAUUGUCCCAAACGACUGUCUUGCUUUGAUACCAUGAAAACUAUGGUAUAAAGGGAAACGACGCAGCAAGAUGAGGAGAAUGUACUUCUCAAUAUAUCAAAAUAGGGUUCUAUACAAUGUCGGAUUUACAUAUAGAGGUGUACAAGUGUGAGCAGAGGAAAGAGAAAAACAUAACUAAUCUACCUUUAAUUAAAGCUAAUAAACCAACUUAACUAACAUUUGAAAAUGAAGGCUUAUUACUGUCUUCUUUUAUUUUUUCUGCCUUUAGUAAAACGGUGUGUAUGGGGGUCUCCAUGUCCAGUUAUGGCUUCAAGUCCUCGAUGCUCUUCUGCUCCUUCUUCCUUUGUUUUUCAACCAUUUAUGUCAAUUUAGGACUUAUUUACUUACUUCAUUUCUGAUACAGUCUUUAAUCAACCUGUAGUUGAUCAUAAAAGAAUUUAGGAUUUCUCACAACGAUGACAUCUGACUAGUGAUUACUAAGUUAGCAGAUUGAUACUUCUAACUGAUGACCAUGUCAGCAGAUUCAUGCAGCUUUUCAAUUUCUGUAACAGGGGGGACAUUGUCGACAGACAUCUUACUUAAAAUCAAUUGAAUUUAUUUAAUCACCG